rnacentral:rRNA from 1 species
UUCGCAAUGCCCGAAAGGGUGACGAAGCGACGCCGCGUGUGGGAAGAAGGCCUUCGGGUUGUAAACCACUGUCGGGAGUUAAGAAAUGCAAGGGUGCUAAUGGUAUCCUUGCUUGACUAAGGCUCCGGAGGAAGCCACGGCUAACUCUGUGCCAGCAGCCGCGGUAAUACAGAGGCGGCAAGCGUUGUUCGGAAUUAUUGGGCGUAAAGAGCACGUAGGCGGCUAUGUAAGUCGGUUGUGAAAGCCUUCCGCUCAACGGAAGAACAGCAUCCGAUACUGCAUGGCUUGAGUGCGGGAGGGGAGAGUGGAACUUCUGGUGGAGCGGUGAAAUGCGUAGAUAUCAGAAGGAACGCCGGCGGUGAAAGCGGCUCUCUGGCCCAUAACUGACGCUGAGUGUGCGAAAGCUAGGGGAGCAAACGGGAUUAGAUACCCCGGUAGUCCUAGCCGUAAACGAUGGGCACUAAGUAGAGGGGUUUU